CUGUUAAUGUACACUGAAAUGAAGCUAACAACGACAAGAGAUUAAAUAUACAAAACAAAGAGUACAAUAUUUUUUUUCAAAACAAUAUCUAGUAGUCUAUUGUUGAAGAAUCUUCAUGGAAAAUUCAGCAAAAGUCUCCUGUUUUUGCUUCAUUUCCAGCAUAUCCUGGCACAAAAUUAAAACAAGAUUUGCCAUGAAAACAUAUAAAACAAUCAUGUCAACAAAGCAUUUCUUACAUUUCAAACAAAAUUCCAGCUAAUUGCAACAUAUAUUAUUUCAAAAGUAUAUUUCUUUCAUUAAAAUCAAUAGACCAAAUAAACAUAUACUAGUAUAUCUAUAACACAAAUCCAUAUUAGUAAACCAAAGUUGUAGAAUAUUACCUCUACUUUUUAUAUGUGACUAAGAAUGAGAUUCACCCA
rnacentral:lncRNA from 1 species